CAAACAUGAUGAUACCAGAGAACGGUUUCGCUUUCUUCCACUGAUGUCUCCCUGAUGUCACGAUUCUCUUGGCUAUCUGAUCUG